AAGCCUGUGACGCAGUGGUUAGCGUGUCGUUCUUAUAUUGUAUGCUCCUGUAGCAUCCAUUAUGACUUCUUUCGAGGAAUGCGAAAGUCGCGAGUUCAAGUCUCGCCAGGAUCA
rfam:Cladophialophora immunda strain CBS 83496 unplaced genomic scaffold supercont1.7, whole genome shotgun sequence.